rnacentral:tRNA from 1 species
GCAGUGUAGAUCAGUGGUAGAGCACUUGCUUACGAGGCACAAGGCCCUGGGUUCAAUUCCCAGUGCA